GCUGGCCUCCUGGCGUUGUAGGUCUUCCACCUUUCCCAGGAGGAGGGACUUCCUGGUUUGGUUGUUGGAGUUCGGUUGUGAGUGAGAACCAUUACGGCGGCAGGUAAGCGAUUGCUGGUACUCUCGCAUGGUCUGUCGCUCUAGCGCUGAGCUGUGACUUCCCAUUUGUUUGUUUGUUAGCAGCCCUGUGCUUUAACCCGGUGUGGAUUGCUAAACGCUCGGAUUCGGGGGUUGAGAACGUUAUCGGCUCAGCCUGUCAGCUGUAGCGAGCAGCAGUAGCAGCAUCGGCCUUAUCUCGCCACCGGUAGUGGGAGACGGAAUCACCAGCCAUUCGAUUGGCAGAAGCAUCGACGGUGUUCGUGCUGGCCUUGGGCCUUUCCACAACCUAUGAGUCUGCU